GUCAAUAAUCCGCACUUGCAUUCUAACGAAUGUGGAAGUGGGUGCUUAUAAAAGCUCUUAUUGUCUAGUCCAAGUUCUGAGAGAACUACGUCAUUUUCGUUAUCAUACCCAAAAAUCCAAAAAUGAUCCCCUAGUUAUUGGCUCAAUG
rnacentral:sRNA from 14 species